rnacentral:tRNA from 1 species
CCUUUAGCUCAGUAGGUAGAGCAUCGGACUUUUAAUCCGCAGGUCGCGGGUUCGAUCCCCGCAGGGC